GGAAGAUGUGGCCCGUGGGGGCCACCCUCGCUGCUAACGAGGUUCGGGGUAACGCCCGGUGGUUCGACUCCACCUUCUUCCGC
rnacentral:tRNA from 1 species